rnacentral:rRNA from 1 species
AUUCCAGCUCCAAUAGCGUAUAUUAAAGUUGUUGCAGUUAAAAAGCUCGUAGUUGAAUUUCUGGUGGGAGUGUACAGUCCGACACUGAGUGUUGGUUCUUGUGUGUCUCCGGCCAUCCUUGGAGUGAAUCUGUCUGGCAUUUAGUUGUUGGGCAGAGUAUCUCCAUCGUUUACUGUGAGGAAAGGAAAGUGUUCAAAGCAGGCUUACGCCGUUGAAUCUUUUAGCAUGGAAUAAUAAGAUAGGAUCUUGAUACUAUUUUGUUGGUUUGCGCAUCAAGGUAAUGAUUAAUAGGGUCAGUUGGGGGUAUUCGUAUUCCGUCGUCAGAGGUGAAAUUCUUGGAUUUACGGAAGACGAACGACUGCGAAAGCAUUUACCAAGGAUGUUUUCAUCG